AUGGAGAAAACAACUGAUUACACCUCGGCGGCAGCACAAGUAGUGGUCAUAUUCAUGAUGGCAGCGGCGCUCAUGUCCCCGCUCUGCUGCGCCGCUGCUCCAAGUCCACCGGCGAUGGGGCUGCCGGGCUGCGAGACCCGCUGCGGCAACGUGAGCGUGCCGUACCCCUUCGGCAUAGGGCCGCCCAGGUGCUACCACUCGCGGGGGUUCAAGCUCACCUGCGUCGACCACGGAGGCAGCAGCAAGAUCCCGAGGCUUCUGCUGGGCAACGGCAGCGUCAGCGCGUUCGAGGUGGUCGACAUCACGCUGGAGAACAGCACGAUGCGCGUCAUCAGCCACGGGCUGCGCGCCAUAAACAUGAGCGGCGGCUCCGGGCGGUGGAGCCUCGGCGACAACGAACUGCCGUACAAGCUGAACCCGUGGUUGAACGAGUUCAUCCUCACGGGUUGCAAUGUGCAGGCGACGCUGGUGGGGAACGGGAGCCUCGUCAGCGGCUGCGCUUCUUUCUGCGCCGCCGAUGGCCAUGGCGGUGGCGCCAUCUAUGACCUGGCAACCUCCAACGCCAACUCCCACAUCGGCUGCUGCCAGUCGUCCAUCCAAGCUGCCAGCACGUCCUACGGCGUGGAGCUCAAGCGGCUCGACGCCAACCUGCCCAAGGUCAGCGAUGUUGAAAUUGUUGAUUUGCCCGUGAACGUGCUCGCCGAGGUGGGCUGGUUCGACUUCGGCCAGACCCUGGACGACCUCAAAGGUCUCUCAAGGAAAGCUGAUCAGCUCAGGGUCCCCGUGAUUCUCGGGUGGGGGCUGGCGCACGGCGCAUCAACAAAUCAUCCUAACUCAUUCGAAUGCCCUGACGACGUAGCCCGGAGCAUCUGCAAGAGCGCCAACAGCUAUUGCAGAGACGAGUCAAUGGGCAUCCCUAACCCUGUUUUUGGAGUCGGAGGCUACUCGUGCCAGUGCAACAAGGGCUACGAGGGCAACCCAUACCUCACCGGAGGAUGCCAACAUAUCAAAGAGCGCAUCUGCCCGGCAGGAACCCAUGUCAACAACUUCGUUCUCGGUGGCUGCGCCAAGUCCACGGACACAACCGCAGACGACACAGAUCUUGAGAAACGCAAGGCGAACGCUUUGAGAGAGAAGUUCUUUAGUCAAAAUCGUGGACAACUGUUGAAGCAGUUGAUAUCUCACAGGGCAGACAUAGCAGAGAGGAUGCUCAUCUCUUUAGGAGAGCUGGAGAAGGCUACCAACAAUUUUGAUCAGGCUCGUAGGCUUGGUGGUGGAGGGCAUGGCACCGUCUACAAAGGGAUCUUGUCGGACUUACAUGUUGUGGCUAUCAAAAAGUCAAAUAUUGUUGUCAAGAGAGAAAUCGACGAGUUCAUAAACGAGGUUGCCAUACUCUCGCAAAUCAAUCAUAGGAAUAUUGUGAAGCUCCAUGGAUGUUGCCUCGAGACGGAAGUCCCUUUACUGACUUACGAGUUCAUUUCUAAUGGAACACUCAAUGACCAUCUUCACAACGAAGAACAAGGAUCAUUGCCUUGGAAAGAUAGGUUAAGGAUCACAGGUGAAAUAGGAAAAGCUAUUGCUUACCUGCACUCUGCUAUUUCUGUCCCUGUAAUACAUCGAGAUAUCAAGCCUUCCAACAUACUUCUUGACAAUGGCUUGACAGCAAAAGUAUCAGACUUCGGAGCUUCAAGGUACAUCCCAGUGGAUAAAACUGGAACAACAACUGCGGUGCAAGGAACUAUAGGGUACUUGGACCCUAUGUAUUAUUAUACUGGACGUCUAACAGAAAGUAGUGAUGUAUAUAGCUUUGGCGUCCUUCUUGUCUAA
rnacentral:rRNA from 1 species